GCUUUACGCACAAUAACUUCUAUUUUCCUCACCCUUCUAGGUGUCUGUUAGCCUAAUCUUUCCUGGUUGUGUGACAAGAGCCUGGUUUUUGCUGAACUAAGGAGAAAAUUCUGCAACAAUAAUAUAAAAACUUCCACUUCAGAAGGAGAUGAAGACUUUGGAAAAGUUUCAUGGGGAAGGAUUUGAGGAUCACACCAUCCUCCCUUGUACAUGAAGAAACCUAGAAGCAGAGAAGCCAUCCACUCUCCCCAUGUCAGUCAGCCAGUGAUCCAUGGCAAAGAGCCAAAUUCAGUCCACUACAAGAAGCCUGUGUUGUCAGCUGUUAUGAAGCUUGUAGAUGGGUGGAGAUGCAAGAGAGACUACAAAUGAAUAACGACAACAAAAAUCAGCCAGUGACUGGUACGUGCAGAUAAUUGAAGUUAUAGAAAGUCAUUAGGUAACUCUUUAAGAUUAUUUUUUUCUGGAAGGUCUCUAGGAAUUAGUGGUAUUUCAACAAUAAUCCGAAUGACAAGAAAAAAUUAGGAGUUCAAAUACCCUGAGGAAGAGUUUCCUAGGCAAAGGGAAAAGUUAAUGUAGAGACAAAAGUUACAACAGGUAUGUCGUAUUAAAUAAAUGAAAAACAAAACCAUAUAGCUAGAAAAUAGUAGAUACACUUGGAGGUGUAGAUAUGGACCAAAUCAUAUAGUACCUUGUAAACCAGAAUAAGGAAUUAAUCAAUUAGUAACACUUACGUUCUGGUAGUCUCACAUAGCUUCCAAAUUUCUUAACAUAGUAUACGUUAUUGUGGUGCUCCUUAGACAUUUGCUGCAGU
rnacentral:lncRNA from 1 species